GACCGAUGGAGCGCAGCCAAGCUGCAACUCUCAACAGCGCUGGGGGGCCUACUGGGUGCCGGCUUCGCCAUCUGUACCCAGUCCCCCAAGGGAAGGAGACGGCAGCCUGGGUCCUGCCCUUCACCUCUGGCGGCUUUCUCUACAUCGCCUUGGUGAACGUGCUCCCUGACCUCUUGGAAGAAGAGGACCCGUGGUGAGUGACCUGUUGGAGGAAGAGGACUGCCACUCACAGGACCCUUAGGGGCUCAGGAGGGAAGGGCUCCUGGCCGCUGCCUGCUCCCCCUGCCCAUGCCUCCACCGUGAGCCGUUCCCUCCCCACAGGCGCUCCCUGCAGCAGCUGCUUCUGCUCUGUGCGGGCAUCGUGGUAAUGGUGCUGUUCUCGCUCUUCGUGGAUUAACUUUCCCUGAUGCCGACGCCCCUGCCCCCUGCAGCAAUAAGAUGCUCGGAUUCACUCUGUGACCGCAUAUGUGAGAGGCAGAGAGGGCGAGUGGCUGCGAGAGAGAAUGAGCCUCCCGCCAGACAGGAGGGAGGUGCGUGUGGAUGUAUGUGGUGUGCACAUGUGGCCAGAGGCGUGUGUGUGAGACCGACACUGUGAUCCCUGUGCUGGGUCCGGGGCCCAGUGUAGCGCCUGUCCCCAGCCAUGCUGUGGUUACCUCUCCGUGCCGCCCUGUCACCUUCACCUCCCGGAGUAAGCAGCGAGGAACAGCAGCACUGGUCCCAAGCAGAGGCCUUGCCCUGCUGGGACCCCGGGAGUGAGAGCAGCCCAAGGAUCCCAGGAUGCAGGGAACUCCAGAGCUGCCCACCUCCCACUGCCCCCUCAGCACACACACAGUCCCCAGGUGGCCUAGGGGCCAAGGCUGGGGCGGCUUUGGUCCCUUUUCCUGGCCCUUCCUUCCCCACUUCUAAGCCAAAGAAAGGAGAGGCAGGUGCUCCUGUACCCCAGCCCCACUCAGCACUGACAGUCCCCAGCUCCUAGUAGUGAGCUGGGAGGCGCUUCCUAAGACCCUUUCCUCAGGGCUGCCCUGGGAGCUCAUUCCUGGCCAACACGCCCUGGCAGCACCAGCAGCUCUUGCCACCUCCAGCUGCCAAACAGCAGCCUGCCGGGCAGGGAGCAGCCCCAGGCCAGAGAGGCCUCCCGGUCCAGCUCAGGGAUGCUCCUGCCAGCACAGGGGCCAGGGACUCCUGGAGCAGGCACAUAGUGAGCCCGGGCAGCCCUCCCCAGCUCAGGCCCCUCUCCUUCCCCAUUGAGGUUGGGGUAGGUGGGGGCGGUGAGGGCUCCACGUUGUCAGCGCUCAGGAAUGUGCUCCGGCAGAGUGCUGAAGCCAUAAUCCCCAACCAUUUCCCUUGGCUGACGCCCAGGUACUCAGCUGGCCCACUCCACAGCCAGGCCUGGCCCUGCCCUUCACCGUGGAUGUUUUCAGAAGUGGCCAUCGAGAGGUCUGGAUGGUUUUAUAGCAACUUUGCUGUGAUUCCGUUUGUAUCUGUAAAUAUUUGUUCUAUAGAUAAGAUACAAAUAAAU
rnacentral:lncRNA from 1 species